AUUGAACGCUGGCGGCAGGCCUAACACAUGCAAGUCGAACGGUAGCACAGAGAGCUUGCUCUCGGGUGACGAGUGGCGGACGGGUGAGUAACGUCUGGGAAACUGCCCGAUGGAGGGGGAUAACUACUGGAAACGGUAGCUAAUACCGCAUAACGUCGCAAGACCAAAGUGGGGGACCUUCGGGCCUCACACCAUCGGAUGUGCCCAGAUGGGAUUAGCUAGUAGGUGGGGUAAGGGCUCACCUAGGCGACGAUCCCUAGCUGGUCUGAGAGGAUGACCAGCCACACUGGAACUGAGACACGGUCCAGACUCCUACGGGAGGCAGCAGUGGGGAAUAUUGCACAAUGGGCGCAAGCCUGAUGCAGCCAUGCCGCGUGUAUGAAGAAGGCCUUCGGGUUGUAAAGUACUUUCAGCGGGGAGGAAGGCGGUGAAGUUAAUAACUUCACCGAUUGACGUUACCCGCAGAAGAAGCACCGGCUAACUCCGUGCCAGCCGCCGCCGUAAAAC
rnacentral:rRNA from 1 species